GACGAACGCUGGCGGCGUGCUUAACACAUGCAAGUCGAACGGAAAGGCCCUGAUUUUGUGGGGUGCUCGAGUGGCGAACGGGUGAGUAACACGUGAGUAACCUGCCCUUAUAUGUCGGAUAACUUCAGGAAACUGGGGCUAAUACAGGGGAGAAGCUCCUGAUGCGUGGGGGGGAUUGGAGAGUUUCGGCGGUUGGGGAUGGACUCGCGGGUUAUCAGCUGGUUGGGGGGGUAGGGGCUUUCAAAGGGUUUGACGGGUAGCCGGCCUGAGAGGUGUACCGGCCACAUGGGUACUGAGAUACGGCGCAGACGCCUACGGGAGGCAGCAGUGGGGAACAUUGCGCAAUGGGCGGAAGCCUGAUGCAGCAACGCCGCGUGCGUGAUGCCGGCCUUCGGGUUGUAAACCGCUUUCUCCUGUGACGAAGCGUGAGUGACGGUAAUGGGUAAAGAAGCACCGGCUAACUACGUG
rnacentral:rRNA from 1 species